CUCCAGAUGUUGCUGAACUACAACUCCCAUGAUUCUAUGAAUGAAACAGGCUGAGAAUCAUGGGAGUUGUAGUUCAGCAACAUCUAGGG
rnacentral:miRNA from 1 species